rnacentral:lncRNA from 1 species
CCUCCGCUUUGGUCUCGUGGCUUCUGGAGUCUUCUAGAUGAUGUAAAAUUGCGCGGUGCGUUGAUAUCUCUAUGUAAUCCCGACAUGUGGGCCUUUCUUCCUUAUUUCCUGAUAACCCCCUGCAGAAAUAGAUAAACAACAAAACUCAUGAGAAGUAGAUUACCAGAGUCAUCCCAUGAGCAAGCUUGAUUAGAGCUUGAUCAUGACAGUACAACCGGAGGAAGAACCGACAGGCCGGCCUCUCCUCUAAUCCUCCUUCGCUCUCCAUCUCGCUACUAUCUAGAUCUACUCUAGUUUAGAGAAGAGAGGAGAGCUCUCAUCUCUAAACCCUAGCUUUUGCUCUAUCUAUGAAUAAUGAUCAAGGAGUUGCCUCCUCCAGGGGCCAGGGGGUCUGGUUAUAUAGUCCCCUCAAGUGAACCUGGGCCGUUGGAUCAAACCGACAUUGAUUGAACGGUUAUUCUUGAUCCUUUAGGUCGGUGGAGAUCUCCCGAGAGAAAGAGUCCUGAUUGGGCUCCAAGUCAGGGCGGGCGCCCUGCCUCUGGCCCCGUUCGGCCUCCGCUUCCUUCCCGUGGCUUCUGGAGUCUUCUAGAUGUAAGAUAAUUGCGCGACACGUUAAUAUCUCUAUGUAAUCCCGACGUGUGGGCCUUUCUUCCGUAUUUCCUGAUAACCCCCUGUAGAAAUAGACAAACACCAAAACUCGUGGAAUUCUGUCACAUAAAACCCUAAGUCUAGAUGUUGAUUUCAUUUGGAUCCUUUUCUUUGUUUAUUUGAUAAUUAAAUUUGAUACUUAAGGACCGUCAACAAACUCCCCCAAGCUUACCUCUUGCUCGUCCCUGAGCAAGGUUAGACUCAGCAAUGGAUCAGAAGUUGUUGAAAUAUCUUAAAAAUUUGACGGUACAUAUGCUUUUAAAUAAGAUCUCAUCUCUGAGUUAGAGUAAACUGUCAAGAACUAAAACUUACUUACUUUACCUUUCACCAUGGGACUUGUAACCGUCACUUCUGUCUUGAGUAGUUAAAAGAUAGAACAGUCUAGCCAAGUGCCAUGUCUCUUAUUCUUGAUCAGCUAUAGCUCUGGAGUUUUUGCAGAUUUUCAAAUAAAACUCAGAGAUUCCUUGUAUGACUCUCUAAAUCUCUCUUUUGUGGUAUUUCUGGAUCCUUACCAAGGCAGUGAUGGUAUAUGCCUUCUCUCAAGAUAUAUGGUAUUUGUGGUAUAAGGUAUAGUGACAUUGCCUUCUCUCUCACCCUACUCUAAUAAGGCUUUAAUAUCUGGAGCUCAUAGGUGGGAGACAGCUAAUACAUACUUACAAGACAUUUAUUGCAUAGUCAAACCAUGGAUCCAAAGAAACAAAUCAAUAAGCCAAAUCAAGAUGUGCAUGUGUGGCGAAUGAAUGGUGUAUGGUGAUGAUGGUGAUAACAAUGGUGGAAGUCUAAUUCUACUUUUGCUCUUUUGAGGGGAUACAUACCUUCCUUUCUUUUAGAAACUUUAUGAGGAGAAUGAGAUGCUCUAUCUUUCAUUUUUUUCUCUCAGGUGGGUAUCUUGUACCCCUAAUUCUACUGUCGGACACUUGUCCAUUUUUACCUCUCGUCUCACUUUUUCUUUCUUUCGAGGUUCCGGGCACUUGCCCCUUUUUAUUUCCUCGUUUAUUAUUUUUUUAUUUUUUAUUUUUUUUCUUUUCAGAGCACUCAUCUCUUGAGAUAAUAUAGCAAGUGGUAGUAGCAAGAUAACUUGAGCAUUUAUUUCACAAGGGAAAACAGAAAUAUUUUUAGCUAUUCUCUCCCAGAUUAGGAGUAGAAUAUUUUUGGGUGAUUCUGGAGAUGGACAUGGAUGGAUAUAUGUGGAUGGUACUUUCGGAGUAGAAGUAGCAUAUAUGAGUGAAUGUGCAAGUGAAAUCUUGAUUUAACCACAUAACAAACUCCUAAGGGUCUACACAGCUUGACCACACUCAAUGCUCAUAAGCAGUAAAUAGUAAAUGUGUGGCUCAAAGUCUAGCAAGCAUGUAUAUAUGGCUGUGGUAGGAAUUUAAACUCUCAUCAUACAGGAACUCAUCAUGCAAUAUUUUAAAGAUUUUUCAAAGAUAAAAUUCUCCAGAAUUCUAGCAUCUCUAGGAAUAGAUAAACAGCAGCUCAGCCUUCCCAUAUCAUAUCCGUUAACAACUUAGAUUUCAGAUUAAGUUUUCAUCCCACAAGUUUAGAUCUAGAGCAAGCUUUAAAUUAUAACAGUUAUGUCUAAACUUGAGAGAGAACUUCAAAUUUGCAAAUUAGGCAGAGCAACUAUUCAUCAUAUCCAUGCAAUAGUUUUAUUAUUAAGAUUCAGAUUAGCAUAGCCACUUUUUUAUUAAACACACUAAGCAAAAGAUAUAUAUAUAAGCACAAAAUCUUUAUUUGGUUUUUCAUAGUUUAUGUAUUUUAAUAUUCUAAUAUAAUAUAAGUAUAAAGAUAGGUAGAAAUACUUAGCGAGAUAAAUGGGGGUGCUCUCCCCCAAGCUGAAUUUUGAUGUAAUUUCUCUUGAUGUAGCUACCAGGUGGCAGAGGUGUAUUUGAAAGUCAGCAGCAUUCUGACAGCGAUUAGAAUGUCCUCCGUCUGCUAGUCUUCUUGAUUCUUAAAUUCUGUGGAGCUCAAAUAGACAACAAAGCUUGUGGAACUAAUUAAGUGUUAGCAUAAAUAUCUAGCCUUCAUCAUGUUGAGCUUCCUCAAUAAAUAUUACUCCCUGUUUUUAUAUUUUUAUUUUAUAAAGCAGAAAAGAAAUAUUUAUUUUAUUUUUAUGCCACCAUAGUGAAGGUACUUAUGGGUUUUAUGCCACUCGUAUACUCACAUGGGGCUUAGUAUUUUUUAAUAUUUUUAUUUUCUUUUCAAGAUAGCAUGAUUAACUAAUAAUCUAUUUAAGGAAAGUAAAUAAUUAAAGGGAAAAGGGAAUGCAGAAAGGAUAAAUAUGGAUAACUACUGAUCUUACCUUUUGGCGAGGGUUCAAUGUUUUAAGUCUUCUGAACAAGACUUCUCAUUGUAUUCAUUCUUUAGGUGCGUCAUUUGAUUCAGGUGUGGACCCUGACGUCUGCUCCUGUUGAUACGGUGUCACCCAUGUUCUUCGUUUGCCCAGUAGUUCGAAGAGCGGCGUUGGCAAUAUCUUGCUCAGUGUGUUUGUGCUCGUAGAUCUAGGUCCUUCACUUGGUAGAGUCUGAGAGUUAUAAAACUCCUCCGUGUUUUUCUCAAAGUGUACCUGCUCAUAGAGACAAGGCAGAGAUCAAGUGCAUGGGUCCUGUUGGUGGAAAACACCAACAGAACCUAAAGUGUAUUUGUUCUUCUCUAACCCUAAGCAUAGUGAGCAAGACAAAGUUGAUGGAUGAAAAGUUCAUGAGUGUAGCACUUAUAACAUUUGUCAGAUCAGAUCGCUCAACCUUAUGGAAAGAUAAUCUAUCUAUGUAUAUGUCUUUUUCUUUAUAUCUCUCAAUGAUUGAAUGUGUAACAUUUUAGCUCAUAUGAUUAGGAGUGUGGGAUCAUGGAGGUAGUACUAAGAACAAGGAUUAAAGGACUAAACAUGUUGAAUCAGUUGGGUUGGUUAAUCUAGAGUUGUAAAUCAUACAUGUUUGUCUCUUUUAUUUAUAUGAACGCCAGAACCAAGGAGAAGCUUAUAAAAGUGAUAGUCA